GGCGCGUCCCUGAAAGCCGGCGGGCUGAGACUCAGGCGCCGGCUGCGAGGUUUACCCUGCCUGCCGCCUUCCGCCUUUGUUUACUAGGUGGGGCGCUUCAAAACUGGUCACGUUUCUAAUUCCCUGUCACUCGGGGACGCCAGGGACUGCCAGGUGGACUCCAAGGCCUGAUUUUCCCUGUCUUCACAGAGAAGAGCGAUGUUGCCUCCCAGUGCGGCCCCGGAUCCUGGCAGGGCUAGCCGGUGCCUCUGGACUAGGCCUUGGUGUUCGUCGUCCCUUCCCUCCCUGACUGUGUGCUCUAGCUCCGUAGUCGGUGACUUCUUCCUGCUUGAUUGCUGAACUGCAAGUGGCCACGUUACAAAAGGAAGAACUAAGUGUUUGCGAAAGCUGAUGCCCCAGAAGGCACAGGUUACCUGUUGGUGGACAUUGAGGUUGCCUCCAGUUUGGGCUCUUACAAAUAAAACUAUGUGAAAGGCUCUGUGUGGACAUGUGCGUUCACUUUUCUUGGCUCCAUAUGGCAUUAACAGCUGGUGAGCUUCUGGAGAAGAUGGAUGGUUGGAUUGUCUCCAGAUGACUAGCCCCUGGUGUAGCCUAGCCCAAUCGUUUUGGCAUGUUUUCACAAACUCUAGUCUUCAAAUUUGCAUUUCAAAGAAAUUCCUUGGCAGUCCAGUGGUUAGAACUUGGCACUUUCACUGUCAUGGCCCUGGUUCAAUCCUCGGUGGAGAAAUAAGAUUCCACAAGCCACGAAGAGUAGCCAAAAACAAAAAGCGAACAGUUUCUUGGCUCCUCCCUUACUUCUUCAGAACAGUCCCCUCGGAGCUAUCUGAGAGGCUGUAUGCCAGUCUUAAGUCCUCAGUAAGUCUGCUGAAUAAAAUGUGAUUCUCGACUUUUAGGUUGUACAUGUGUUUUUCAUUCAGUAAAUGUAUUGGUCAACUGGCAACUGGAGACAGCUGCUUCCUAUCUCUGGCAUUGGGCAAAUACCUUGCCCAGGGUGCCAGUGUUACAGCAGGUAGGUAAGUGCAGAGAAACGGGCCAGGGACCAAGUGGCAGGAAAUCGCGCAGGUUGUAAACAG
ensembl:lncRNA